UUCGCAAUGCCCGAAAGGGUGACGAAGCGACGCCGCGUGCGGGAAGAAGGCCUUCGGGUUGUAAACCGCUGUCGGGAGUUAAGAAAUGUAAGGAUGUUAAUAGCAUCUUUGCUUGACUAAGGCUCCGGAGGAAGCCACGGCUAACUCUGUGCCAGCAGCCGCGGUAAUACAGAGGCGGCAAGCGUUGUUCGGAAUUAUUGGGCGUAAAGAGCACGUAGGCGGCUAUGUAAGUCGGUUGUGAAGGCCUUCCGCUCAACGGGAGAACAGCAUCCGAUACUGCAUGGCUUGAGUGCGGGAGGGGAGAGUGGAACUUCUGGUGGAGCGGUGAAAUGCGUAGAUAUCAGAAGGAACGCCGGCGGCGAAAGCGGCUCUCUGGCCCAUAACUGACGCUGAGUGUACGAAAGCUAGGGGAGCAAACGGGAUUAGAUACCCCGGUAGUCCUAGCCGUAAACGAUGGGCACUAAGUAGAGGGGUUUU
rnacentral:rRNA from 1 species